rnacentral:rRNA from 1 species
UACGUAGGGUGCGAGCGUUGUCCGGAAUUAUUGGGCGUAAAGAGCUCGUAGGCGGUUUGUCGCGUCGGAUGUGAAAGCCCGGGGCUUAACUCCGGGUCUGCAUUCGAUACGGGCAGGCUAGAGUUCGGUAGGGGAGAUCGGAAUUCCUGGUGUAGCGGUGAAAUGCGCAGAUAUCAGGAGGAACACCGGUGGCGAAGGCGGGUCUCUGGGCCAUUACUGACGCUGAGGAGCGAAAGCGUGGGGAGCGAACAGG